rnacentral:tRNA from 1 species
GGCUCGGUAGCUUAGUUAAUAAAGCGCUCGUUUAGCACACAAGAGUCCUGGGUUCGAAUCCCAGCCGAGCAC